rnacentral:lncRNA from 1 species
AUGCCAUCUCUGCGAGCUCGCCAGUGUGCAGCCUCGCUCCAGAACACCUGCACGAUGGGGAAGGUGGGAGAGGCCCUGAGCGUCCUGCCACAGGGGGUCCUCGGGGAAGAGGACAGAGGUGGGGCCGAGGACUACCACCCUCCUCAGCGGCCCCUGACUGCUUCUCCCCCGGGCAACCCCGCUGGGAAGACGGCGGAUCCUGAUUCUAGGCUGAGAAGGCAGGCAGUGACGACGACUACCCCAGCGCACCAGCGCCGGAAGCCGCCCGGGCCUGCCGGAAGUGACGUCAUGCCGCGCCGGCCCCGCCCUCGAGCGUUGGUGCCCUCCGCGCGCCCGCGUUCUGUGCCAUCCGGGAUGGGCGUCUCGUUCCGAGCUCCUGACGGGGACGAGAAAUGGCACUGCGCUGGCCUCCGAGAGCGAGACGGAGAAGGACGCCCCAGAAGCCCUCAUUGCCCAUUUCCGGACACUGGACGCCAGAAAGACAAAGAUCACAGAGACCGCGUGCUCCCUGCCUUCUGCACGGUAAGCCAGCUGACUUCUUUGCCUUGUGAUUCUGACCAUUUCCUUUCCUCUUCUAGAUUGGAAAGCUGCUUUCCAUCAGUGCCAUGUUUUCCUAAAUGACCCAGCCCUGGGGAAAUUUUGUUCACUGAACCUGCUGCGUGGUCCCUUGCCCUGAAGAGCCGGGCUGUGGCUGUCAGCACUGCUGUCCUGCAGUGGCAGGAGGUGCACUUUCCAAGCGGGCUGCUCCCCUGGGAUGUGCCUGGGUCCGAAAGCUCUCUGGCCAGUAGCACCUUGUGGAUAAAAGUGAACCCCAGCAAGCUUUGCUUUGGUCUGGACUGGGUGGUGAACAGAAGGCAGAAGCUCCGAGAGGGGCGCGUGGUGGAAGGAAAGUCGUUCUUGUAGAAUGAAAGAAGGCAUGAGGAAGAAGUCUCGGGCAGGGAGCAGGGGCUGACGGUCUCUGCCACCUCGGGGAGCCUUGUCGGAGCUGCCGGGCCUCGCAGGGAGCGGCUCCUGGUCUCGGUGUCCCCCAGGCUCCGUAAGGCUGCGCCGUGUCACUUCCGGGAGGGAAGCAGGGAGCGCACAUCACAGCCCACGCUUCUGCUCCUCUGUGGAGGCUGCAGUCAGCCCACAGGAGGGGGAAGCGGAGGGUGUGAGCGUGGCUCUGCACUCACAGGGUGGUUGGUGCUCCCCGAGGGA